CUUUGGGAUAACCCUCGGAAACGGGGGCUAAUACUGGAUAGGACUUCUCGCCGCAUGGUGGGGGGUGGAAAGUUUUUUCGGCCUGGGAUGGGCUCGCGGCCUAUCAGCUUGUUGGUGGGGUGAUGGCCUACCAAGGCGGUGACGGGUAGCCGGCCUGAGAGGGCGACCGGCCACACUGGGACUGAGACACGGCCCAGACUCCUACGGGAGGCAGCAGUGGGGAAUCUUGCACAAUGGGCGGAAGCCUGAUGCAGCGACGCCGCGUGAGGGAUGACGGCCUUCGGGUUGUAAACCUCUUUCAGUAGGGACGAAGCGUGAGUGACGGUACCUACAGAAGAAGCGCCGGCCAACUACGUGCCAGCAGCCGCGGUAAGACGUAGGGCGCGAGCGUUGUCCGGAUUUAUUGGGCGUAAAGAGCUCGUAGGCGGCUUGUCGCGUCGACUGUGAAAACCCAUGGCUUAACUGUGGGCUUACAGCCGAUACGGGCAGGCUAGAGUUCGGUAGGGGAGACUGGAAUUCCUGGUGUAGCGGUGAAAUGCGCAGAUAUCAGGAGGAACACCGGUGGCGAAGGCGGGUCUCUGGGCCGAUACUGACGCUGAGGAGCGAAAGCGUGGGGAGCGAACAGGAUUAGAUACCCUGGUAGUCCACGCUGUAAACGUUGGGCGC
rnacentral:rRNA from 1 species